rnacentral:rRNA from 2 species
UACUGCAAGUCGAACGCACUCUCGUUUAGAUUGAAGGAGCUUGCUCCUGAUUGAUAAACAUUUGAGUGAGUGGCGGACGGGUGAGUAACACGUGGGUAACCUGCCCUAAAGUGGGGGAUAACAUUUGGAAACAGAUGCUAAUACCGCAUAAAACCUAACACCGCAUGGUGUAGGGUUGAAAGAUGGUUUCGGCUAUCACUUUAGGAUGGACCCGCGGUGCAUUAGUUAGUUGGUGAGGUAAAGGCUCACCAAGACCGUGAUGCAUAGCCGACCUGAGAGGGUAAUCGGCCACACUGGGACUGAGACACGGCCCAGACUCCUACGGGAGGCAGCAGUAGGGAAUCUUCCACAAUGGACGAAAGUCUGAUGGAGCAACGCCGCGUGAGUGAAGAAGGUUUUCGGAUCGUAAAACUCUGUUGUUGGAGAAGAAUGUAUCUGAUAGUAACUGAUCAGGUAGUGACGGUAUCCAACCAGAAAGCCACGGCUAACUACGUGCCAGCAGCCGCGGUAAUACGUAGGUGGCAAGCGUUGUCCGGAUUUAUUGGGCGUAAAGCGAGCGCAGGCGGUUUCUUAAGUCUGAUGUGAAAGCCUUCGGCUCAACCGAAGAAGUGCAUCGGAAACUGGGAAACUUGAGUGCAGAAGAGGACAGUGGAACUCCAUGUGUAGCGGUGAAAUGCGUAGAUAUAUGGAAGAACACCAGUGGCGAAGGCGGCUGUCUGGUCUGUAACUGACGCUGAGGCUCGAAAGCAUGGGUAGCAAACAGGAUUAGAUACCCUGGUAGUCCAUGCCGUAAACGAUGAGUGCUAGGUGUUGGAGGGUUUCCGCCCUUCAGUGCCGCAGCUAACGCAUUAAGCACUCCGCCUGGGGAGUACGACCGCAAGGUUGAAACUCAAAGGAAUUGACGGGGCCCGCACAAGCGGUGGAGCAUGUGGUUUAAUUCGAAGCAACGCGAGAACCUUACCAGGUCUU